rnacentral:rRNA from 1 species
GGUGAGUAACAUGUAGGUAUCUGCCCUUUGGCCUGGAAUAACACGAGGAAACUUGUGCUAAUACCGGAUAAGUCUUUACGGAGAAAGCUUUAUGCACCAUUGGAUGAGCCUGCACUUGAUUAGUUUGUUGGUGGGGUAAUGGCCUACCAAGACUGUGAUCAAUAGCUGAUUUGAGAGGAUGAUCAGCCACAUUGGGACUGAGACACGGCCCAAACUCCUACGGGAGGCAGCAGUGGGGAAUCUUGCACAAUGGAGGAAACUCUGAUGCAGCGAUGCCGCGUGAGUGAAGAAGGCCUUUGGGUUGUAAAGCUCUUUCGUCGGGGAAGAAAAUGACUGUACCCGAAUAAGAAGGUCCGGCUAACUUCGUGCCAGCAGCCGCGGUAAUACGAAGGGACCUAGCGUAGUUCGGAAUUACUGGGCUUAAAGAGUUCGUAGGUGGUUGAAAAAGUUGGUGGUGAAAUCCCAGAGCUUAACUCUGGAACUGCCAUCAAAACUUUUCAGCUAGAGUAUGAUAGAGGAAAGCAGAAUUUCUAGUGUAGAGGUGAAAUUCGUAGAUAUUAGAAAGAAUACCAAUUGCGAAGGCAGCUUUCUGGAUCAUUACUGACACUGAGGAACGAAAGCAUGGGUAGCGAAGAGGAUUAGAUACCCUCGUAGUCCAUGCCGUAAACGAUGUGUGUUAGACGUUGGAAAU